rnacentral:rRNA from 1 species
CACGGGGGGAGCAAGCGUUGUUCGGAAUCACUGGGCGUAAAGGGCGUGUAGGCGGUCAAGUAAGUGGAAUGUGAAAGCCCCCGGCUUACCCGGGGAUCUGCAUCCCAAACUGCUUGGCUUGAGUACGGGAGAGGAUAGGGGAAUUCCUGGUGUAGCGGUGAAAUGCGUAGAUAUCAGGAGGAACACCGGUGGCGAAGGCGCCUAUCUGGCCCGAUACUGACGCUGAGGCCGCGAAAGCUAGGGGAGCAAACGGG